UGUCACUAAAGAAGUUUCUGGUGUGUGGA
rnacentral:piRNA from 1 species